rnacentral:lncRNA from 1 species
AUACUCUAAAGGGAUAGCCAGUCGCAAUGACCUGCUUACUUUCAGAUUUCUUAAGGUACUACAUCUAUCGCUUUGAGUUUUUAGUAUUGCGGUAAUCAAUUACUAUCCAUCAACUCGCCCUCAUGAAGUUGUUUCUUUCGUGUAUACAGAGCCGUGAAGCAGUCGCCGCCACACGCGAAAGCACUCUUCACUGCAACUGUUGGAGCAUCGCUUGUUCUGUUUCUCUGCCUUGGAGGGAUAGUGUUCUACCUGAAGAUGGAUGACAAUGGUGAUGUGGCAGCCGGCCCUUCUACGAGGUUUACUGGGUUGCCCCCAAAGCGAGAUACACAAAGGGUGCCUACCAUUCCCCAGAGCUCUGAGCCUAGCACACCCUCUUCAGAGACAGGUACUCCACCGACCCCACCAACCGGAGGCAAUCAAUCGAGUCUGCACGAAGUUCUGCAAGCCGAAGACAACGACGAGGAGUGAAUCGCAGGACACUUGUUCGCGUAGCUUAUGAACAAAUUUACUAUAAUUUUUUGCGCAUUACUAUUUUCAAUAUUUAACGAUUUUAUAUAGAUCUACUUUGUCCAUAUAUAUAAACUGUUAUUAACUGUCACGAUGCCAUUUUCCAGGUAGCCAUGCUACUGUGAUAAUGUCAUGGAAAUGAGGAGGCACAUCGAAAAUGUUGUCCAAGGAACUUCUUUGGAGGUUAUAUUUAUAGGGUUAAAUAUCAUUGUAAUAAUAUCAACGUAUUGUUUGCUAUUUUGACGUGCUUACUGCACGUCCCUUUGCACCAAAUGUGCUUCUUAUUCUCUUAAUAGGAAACGAGGAUGGAGAUGCAUAGACUAUCGACAGUUCGUGGAAGAUUUUGACAUGUUAUCUUAGCUGCUUAUGCAGUACACGCAAACAAAGCCUGUGAUGGUAUCACAAAGGUAAAGUGCUAACAGUAUUCGUUUUCCACUCGACAGGCUCUUGAUUUUAUCACACACACAAGACGUUUAUCUCUAAGGCAAGUUAUGAAUGCUAUUUGUUAACCGAAAUGUUCGAAGAAAAUUAUAGAGCCUACAAAUAAAGAAACGGAGUUUUCAACACUGAUGAACGCUUAUUCGUUGCUACAGCUUCGAGGGAAAACAGUUAUGUUAUUGAGCUGACUGAUUCAAACGAUGUCGUGUGUUUGCCAAUGAUGAACAGUAAUUCCUUCUUGUUUUAUUAAAUGCCCUGCUCACGUGGUCGAACGCAUCAGCUAUCUCACUAGGGCGUUCUUGGAUACGGCAAGCUGAGUAAAUGCCUAACCAAGCUUAAUGCAAUGUUAUGUACCACCUUGUGCUUCG